rnacentral:rRNA from 1 species
UUUUAUGAGAGUUUGAUCCUGGCUCAGGACGAACGCUGGCGGCGUGCCUAAUACAUGCAAGUCGAACGCUUCUUUUUCCACCGGAGCUUGCUCCAUCGGAAAAAGAAGAGUGGCGAACGGGUGAGUAACACGUGGGUAACCUGCCCAUCAGAAGGGGAUAACACUUGGAAACAGGUGCUAAUACCGUAUAACAAUCGAAACCGCAUGGUUUUGAUUUGAAAGGCGCUUUCGGGU